rnacentral:rRNA from 1 species
AGCGAACGCUGGCGGCAGGCCUAACACAUGCAAGUCGAACGAAGUCUUCGGACUUAGUGGCGGACGGGUGAGUAACACGUGGGAACGUGCCCUUUGGUACGGAAUAACUCAGGGAAACUUGAGCUAAUACCGUAUGUGCCCUUCGGGGGAAAGAUUUAUCGCCAUUGGAGCGGCCCGCGUCUGAUUAGCUAGUUGGUGAGGUAAAGGCUCACCAAGGCGACGAUCAGUAGCUGGUCUGAGAGGAUGAUCAGCCACAUUGGGACUGAGACACGGCCCAAACUCCUACGGGAGGCAGCAGCGGGGAAUCUUGCGCAAUGGGCGAAAGCCUGACGCAGCCAUGCCGCGUGAAUGAUGAAGGUCUUAGGAUUGUAAAAUUCUUUCACCGGGGACGAUAAUGACGGUACCCGGAGAAGAGGCCCCGGCUAACUUCGUGCCAGCAGCCGCAGUAACAC